UUUUAGUAGCCCUCUAAACGCCGACGUUUCAAAUUAUCUGAAGACGGAGAGAAGAGAGAUGGCAGCGUUGAUGAACUCCGUCGUAGUCAGAGCUCUGACGUUUUCGCCGGCGGCGAAUCUUCCAUGGAAUAGAACCAACGGAUUCCCGUCACGGUGGGUGAGAUCGUUCUCGGCUAUGAUGUCUCCGCCUUCGAAGGCCGUGGUUUACGACCUCCACGGCCCUCCCGAUUCCGUCACCAGAGUGGUUGAGCUUCCGCCGGUGGAAAUGAGAGAAAAUGAUGUGUGCGUUAAAAUGCUCGCGGCGCCGAUCAAUCCUUCCGAUAUCAAUAGAAUCGAAGGUGUGUACCCGGUUAGACCACCAGUGCCAGCAGUUGGUGGGUAUGAAGGUGUCGGGGAAGUAUAUGCUGUUGGCUCCAGUGUCAAGCGUUUUGCACCGGGUGACUGGGUUAUCCCAUCCCCACUCUCUUCAGGGACUUGGCAGACAUAUGUUGUGAAGGAGGAGAAUGUGUGGCACAAAAUCGACAAAGCUUCUCCAAUGGAGUAUGCCGCAACAAUUACAGUUAACCCAUUGACGGCUUUAAGAAUGCUUGAGGACUUUGUGACCCUAAAAUCAGGAGAUUGUAUCGUACAAAAUGGUGCAACAAGCAUUGUGGGGCAGUGCGUCAUCCAGUUAGCAAGACUACGUGGCAUCAGUAGCAUCAACAUAAUACGUGACAGGGUUGGGUCACAUGAAGCGAAAGAGAAGCUGAAAUCUCUGGGUGCGGAUGAAGUGCUCUCUGAAAGUCAGCUUGAUGUGAAGAACGUGAAGGGGCUGUUUGGAAACUUGCCCGAACCUGCUCUUGGAUUCAAUUGUGUUGGUGGAAAUGCUGCUUCUCUCGUGCUAAAAUUCCUGAGGGAAGGAGGGACCAUGGUAACAUAUGGUGGGAUGUCUAAGAAACCGAUCACUGUAUCAACAACAUCUUUCAUUUUUAAGGUAAGGAUUUGUCAUUGAGAGGGUUCUGGCUGCAGAAGUGGAUGAGUAUGGGGAAAGCAAAAGAGUGCAGAGAGAUGAUAGACUAUCUACUCGAGCUUGCACGAGACAGGAAGCUAAAAUACGAGGUGGAAAUGGUUCCAUUCGAAGAGUUCCACAAGGCUCUUGACAAAGCUAUGGGGAAGCAAGGGAGCCAACCUAAACAAGUCAUCAGGUUCUGAAGCUUUUCUUCUCUGUUUAGUAGUUUUGCUUCAUCUACCUGUCUCUUAAGAAACUUCGAAUAUGGCAAACAAUAAAGAAGCACUAAAUAAUAAACUGCUCAUUACGAAUUUUUAUUAUAUAUUUUUUUA